rnacentral:rRNA from 1 species
GUACGCUGGCGGCACGCCUAACACAUGCAAGUCGAACGCAGUAGCAAUACUGAGUGGCAAACGGGUGAGUAUAAUGUGGGAAUCUGCCUUUUGGUUUGGAAUAACACGGGGAAACUUGUGCUAAUACCGAAUAAGCCUUUACAGGGAAAGUUUUAACGCCAAGAGAUGAGCCCGCACUUGAUUAGCUAGUUGGUAAGGUAAAAGCUUACCAAGGCAACGAUCAAUAGCUGUUCUUAGAGGAAGACCAGCCACAUUGGGACUGAGACACGGCCCAGACUCCUACGGGAGGCAGCAGUGGGGAAUCUUGCACAAUGGGGGAAACCCUGAUGCAGCGAUGCCGCGUGAGUGAAGAAGGCCCUUGGGUUGUAAAACUCUUUCGUCGGGGAAGAAAAUGACUGUACCCGAAUAAGAAGGUCCGGCUAACU